UCAUUCUAGAAACACUUUCCAGUACCUCUACUUUGUUACGACUUAUUCCAAUUUUUAAAUGAAAGCGACGGGCAAUAUGUACAUAUUUUAAUUAUAAAUCAUUUUAUUAUAUUAAAUAAAAUUACAUUUAAAUCCACUUUUAUUGUUUUAUUACAAAAAAAAUCCAUUUAAAUAAUUUUAUUGUAAUCCAUCAUAUGCUUAAUUAUAUUCUACAUCUUGAUCUGAAUUAAUUUUUUUUUAAAAUUCUUAAAUAUUAUUUUUAUUAAAAAAUAUUUUUUUAACAACGAUAUAUAAAAUUUUAAAUUAAGUAAAUUCAAUCGUGGAUUAUCAAUUAUUAGACAGAUUCCUCUAAAUGAACUAAAAUACCGCCAAUUUAUUUAAGUUCCAAUAAAUUAUUAUUUACUAUUUUAGUAUUUUAAAUUAAAAUUUA
rnacentral:rRNA from 1 species